GAGGGAUAUAGCUCAAGUGGUAGAGCGGUAGACUUUUAAUCUAUUGGUUGCAGGUUCGAGCCCUGUUGUCCCGUUUCGCA
rnacentral:tRNA from 1 species